rnacentral:piRNA from 1 species
UCAGGGAAAAAUACCAAAUCAGGACCGGAG